GUGAAUCAUCGAAUCUUUGAACGCAAAUUGCACUCUCCGGUUUUCCGGGAGAGUAUGCCUGUUUGAGGUUCAGCCUAAAAAAAAUCGACAUUGUUGCUGUUAUUUUAUGGUGACUUUCGUCGGAGAUUGGGUUAUCUUAAACCUUUUUUUUUUUUUUGGUUUAAGCGUCUUAAAAUUUUUCUUCACGAUUCCAUGAACGUUUCUAAGAUUUUUAUUUCUUAUACGUUUAAGGUUUUUAGAUCUUUUAUUAGAUGUGACCGUCGUUGUG
rnacentral:misc_RNA from 1 species